UACGUAGGGCGCAAGCGUUGUCCGGAUUCACUGGGUGUAAAGGGUGCGCAGGCGGGAAAGUAAGUUAGAGGUGAAAUCUCACAGCUCAACUGUGAAACUGCCUUUGAUACUGCUUUUCUUGAGUUAGGGAGAGGUUGAUGGAAUUCCAGGUGUAGCGGUGAAAUGCGUAGAUAUCUGGAAGAACACCCGUGGCGAAGGCGG
rnacentral:rRNA from 1 species